GCUCAGUGCUUACAAUGGAUGGGCUUCCAUGGCCCCAGUGCUCCUCCCACCCACACGUAGGCUCAUGCCCUGCUGGAAGCUGGGUUCAAAGAGUGUUACCCUUUAACUUGGUGGCUCCAAAGGGGUUGGGGAUGCUGUGGUGCGGCCCAGAUCCCUCUGCCCAGCCCUGUGUGAACAGCAGAGAGCAGGUCUCAGCCUCCAACCAGUCCCAGAGCCUGUUCUCACUCCCCCUCUGAUGUGGGACUCCCACCAGCUGCUCUCAGCCUUCUGAAUGAGAGUGAAACUGACGCUAGGAAUGCUGAGAUCUUGGAACAAACUCUGUCAUAUGUUCCUGCUGCCCCUCAGUCACACAUCACCGCGCUGCCAAGUCUGCCAGAACCAAAACCACAUCGUAGGGUAUGAAAUAUUCAUCCUGGCUCCGCAGUGGCUGUCAGUGGCUCCACAUUCCUUCCUCUGCACCUGUGAAACUCUCUGCUCUCCUUCGGAUGCUGCAGAUUCUGCGACCCUGCCAACCAGUGGUUCCCCCGGGGCUGCAGGGAGCAGGAGCUGGCAGGACAUGAGCAAGCUGAAUAUCAUUCACCUUAAGCAGCUCGGAGAUGUUCAGGGGCAUAAAACCUUUCAGAGCUCAGCGUGGCAUUUUUCAACAUGACGCUUCCCUCUAGAAAGAUCUGAGAUGCUCCCACAGCUCCUGGCUCUCACUUGGGUACCCCAAAGGUAAAAGACCCACUCGUGGAUCACAGAGCCCAUCGCUGCCCAUCCCCAUUGCAACACCAUCCGUGGGGAGGAGUUAAGAUAAUUGACCAUUGCAAGGGAAUGUGCUUCAGUUGGGAGCAGAAAAACAGCUGGGUUGUUUCCAGGCCAAAGGGAUAAAUGGGUUUUUCCCAAGCAUGAUGUUGACUCUCAUUGGAUUUGCUCCUGCUGUCUUAUGAGGGGACUGGUGCCUCAUUGCAAGGUGGCUGGGAGCAGAGCUGGGGGCAGAGCUUUCCUCUCCAUCCCACCCACGGUCACUAAUGAAGACAGCAGCAAACCCCCCAUAGAGCAGAGCUGUGCCCAGAAAUCCCAACAUCUCUUCCCUGGGUUUCAGCACUGCAUCCAGCAAACAGAGUUCAAAGGGAUGAGGCUGCAGUUUGGGUGCUUUCCUUUCCCUUUUCCCACACUGGGCUGCUCCCAGCAGUCUCUGUCUUCACUGUUCUGCCAUAAUUACUUUCUCCUCUUUCUCCAGCCAACCUCCAAGCGCUGCUUUGCGAGGGGAAUUGCUAUUCCCUUGUCAGGAGAUGGGAUUCUGGUGUAAUUGAGAGAGAAGCAGCAGCCUCUGCUCCUGACCAGGGAGCUCCCUCCUCCCUCCCACUCACCAUUGUAUGGGAAGCAGAAGCCCUCAAGUUAUACUGGACAGACUCUUGGAAAUAACCUUUUUCAUCUCAAAGAUCCUGCUGAAUUUUAGAUUAAAAAGGAAGCUUUUCUUUCAAUAAUGUAUUUCCCCCUUGGCUCCCUGGCUAUCAAGUAACUUUCCCUGCACCGAGAGCUCAAAAAAGAUGAAGCUUCCCCAAAUUCAGAUUCAUGAGCUGAAUCCCACACCUCCCCGAAGCCUGGCUGCGGAGAGCAAAGGCAAGCAGGGCAUGAAUUUCACAUUAAGAAGAAUAAAUAAAGCACAACCUCUUUGCUUUCCUUCUCC
rnacentral:lncRNA from 1 species